rnacentral:rRNA from 1 species
GGCCGGGCGACGGUUGUCCCGGUUUAAGCGUGUAGGUGUGUGUUCCAGGUAAAUCCGGUUCACUUUAACACUGAGGCGUGAUGACGAGGCACUACGGUGCUGAAGUAACAAAUGCCCUGCUUCCAGGAAAAGCCUCUAAGCAUCAGGUAACAUCAAAUCGUACCCCAAACCGACACAGGUGGUCAGGUAGAGAAUACCAAGGCGCUUGAGAGAACUCGGGUGAAGGAACUAGGCAAAAUGGUGCCGUAACUUCGGGAGAAGGCACGCUGACACGUAGGUGAAGUGAUUUACUCACGGAGCUGAAGUCAGUCGAAGAUACCAGCUGGCUGCAACUGUUUAUUAAAAACACAGCACUGUGCAAACACGAAAGUGGACGUAUACGGUGUGACGCCUGCCCGGUGCCGGAAGGUUAAUUGAUGGGGUCAGCGCAAGCGAAGCUCCUGAUCGAAGCCCCGGUAAACGGCGGCCGUAACUAUAACGGUCCUAAGGUAGCGAAAUUCCUUGUCGGGUAAGUUCCGACCUGCACGAAUGGCGUAAUGAUGGCCAGGCUGUCUCCACCCGAGACUCAGUGAAAUUGAACUCGCUGUGAAGAUGCAGUGUACCCGCGGCAAGACGGAAAGACCCCGUGAACCUUUACUAUAGCUUGACACUGAACAUUGAGCCUUGAUGUGUAGGAUAGGUGGGAGGCUUUGAAGUGUGGACGCCAGUCUGCAUGGAGCCGACCUUGAAAUACCACCCUUUAAUGUUUGAUGUUCUAACGUGGACCCGUUACCCGGGUUGCGGACAGUGUCUGGUGGGUAGUUUGACUGGGGCGGUCUCCUCCUAAAGAGUAACGGAGGAGCACGAAGGUUGGCUAAUCCUGGUCGGACAUCAGGAGGUUAGUGCAAUGGCAUAAGCCAGCUUGACUGCGAGCGUGACGGCGCGAGCAGGUGCGAAAGCAGGUCAUAGUGAUCCGGUGGUUCUGAAUGGAAGGGCCAUCGCUCAACGGAUAAAAGGUACUCCGGGGAUAACAGGCUGAUACCGCCCAAGAGUUCAUAUCGACGGCGGUGUUUGGCACCUCGAUGUCGGCUCAUCACAUCCUGGGGCUGAAGUAGGUCCCAAGGGUAUGGCUGUUCGCCAUUUAAAGUGGUACGCGAGCUGGGUUUAGAACGUCGUGAGACAGUUCGGUCCCUAUCUGCCGUGGGCGCUGGAGAACUGAGGGGGGCUGCUCCUAGUACGAGAGGACCGGAGUGGACGCAUCACUGGUGUUCGGGUUGUCAUGCCAAUGGCACUGCCCGGUAGCUAAAUGCGGAAGAGAUAAGUGCUGAAAGCAUCUAAGCACGAAACUUGCCCCGAGAUGAGUUCUCCCUGAGACUUUAGGUCUCCUGAAGGAACGUUGAAGACGACGACGUUGAUAGGCCGGGUGUGUAAGCGCAGCGAUGCGUUGAGCUAACCGGUACUAAUGAACCGUGAGGCUUAACCUUACAACGCCG